rnacentral:rRNA from 1 species
UACGUAGGGUGCGAGCGUUAAUCGGAAUUACUGGGCGUAAAGCGUGCGCAGGCGGUUCGUUGUGUCGGUGGUGAAAUCCCCGGGCUUAACCUGGGAAUGGCCAUGGAAACUGGCGAACUGGAGUGCGGCAGAGGGGGGUGGAAUUCCGCGUGUAGCAGUGAAAUGCGUAGAGAUGCGGAGGAACACCGGUGGCGAAGGCGGCAUCCUGGACCAACACUGACGCUGAGGAGCGAAAGCCAGGGGAGCAAACGGG